GAUCCUGGCUUAGGAUGAACGCUAGCUACAGGCUUAACACAUGCAAGUCGAGGGGCAGCAUGUGGUGCUGCAACCAAUGAUGGCGACCGGCGCACGGGUGAGUAACGCGUAUCCAACCUUCCCCUUAGUAGAGGAUAGCCCGGCGAAAGUCGGAUUAAUACUCUAUGUUCUUCAAUGCGGGCAUCUAAGUUGAAGCAAAGAUUUAUCGCUAAGGGAUGGGGAUGCGUCUGAUUAGGUUGCAGGCGGGGUAACGGCCCACCUGGCCUACGAUCAGUAGGGGUUCUGAGAGGAAGGUCCCCCACACUGGUACUGAGACACGGACCAGACUCCUACGGGAGGCAGCAGUGAGGAAUAUUGGUCAAUGGGCGCGAGCCUGAACCAGCCAAGUAGCGUGCAAGGACGACUGCCCUAUGGGUUGUAAACUGCUUUUAUCAGGGAAUAAAGUGAGGCACGCGUGCCUUUUUGUAUGUACCUGAUGAAUAAGGACCGGCUAAUUCCGUGCCAGCCGCCGC
rnacentral:rRNA from 1 species